rnacentral:rRNA from 2 species
AGGUUAAGUUAUAAAGGGCGCACGGUGGAUGCCUAGGCACUAGGAGCCGAUGAAGGACGUAACUAACAACGAUAUGCCUCGGGGAGCUGUAAGUAAGCUUUGAUCCGGGGAUUUCCGAAUGGGGGAACCCAAUCAUCGUAAUGGAUGAUUACUUGUAUGUGAAUACAUAGCAUAUUAAGAGGAAGACGCAAUGAACUGAAACAUCUAAGUAAUUGCAGGAAGAGAAAGAAAAUUUCGAUUCCUGAGUAGCGGCGAGCGAAACGGAAGAGCCCCAAACCAAAGAGCUUGCUCUUUGGGGUUGUAGGACUGACGAUAUGAGAAAAAAAGUAAGUAUAAGCUGAACAACUUGGAAAAGUUGGCCAAAGAGAGUGAAAGCCUCGUAAGCGAAAUACGAACUACUCUAGUCGGGAUCCUGAGUACGGCGGAACACGAGAAAUUCCGUCGGAAUCUGGGAGGACCAUCUCCCAAGGCUAAAUACUCCCUAGUGACCGAUAGUGAAACCAGUACCGUGAGGGAAAGGUGAAAAGAACCCCGGAAGGGAGUGAAAUAGAUCCUGAAACCGUGUGCCUACAAGUAGUCAAAGCCCGUUAAGGGGUGAUGGCGUGCCUUUUGUAGAAUGAACCGGCGAGUUACGUUUGCAUGCAAGGUUUAAGCAGAAAAUGCGGAGCCGUAGCGAAAGCGAGUCUGAAUAGGGCGACUAAGUAUGUAGACGUAGACCCGAAACCAAGUGACCUACCCAUGUCCAGGUUGAAGGUGCGGUAAAACGCACUGGAGGACCGAACUCAUGUAUGUUGAAAAAUGCUGAGAUGAGGUGUGGGUAGCGGUGAAAUUCCAAACGAACUUGGAGAUAGCUGGUUUCUCUCCGAAAUAGCUUUAGGGUUAGCCUCGGGGAAUAGGAUCAUGGAGGUAGAGCACUGUUUGGACUAGGGGCCCGUCUUGGGUUACUGAAUUCAGAUAAACUCCGAAUACCAUUGAUCUAUACCCGGGAGUCAGACGAUGAGUGAUAAGAUCCACCGUCGAAAGGGAAACAGCCCAGAUCACCAGUUAAGGUCCCAAAAUUCAUGCUAAGUGGAAAAGGAUGUGGAAACGCAUAGACAACUAGGAUGUUGGCUUAGAAGCAGCCAUUCAUUCAAAGAGUGCGUAAUAGCUCACUAGUCGAGUGAUUCUGCGCCGAAAAUGUACCGGGGCUAAGCAUGAUACCGAAACUGUGGAUGCAUCGUAAGAUGCGUGGUAGGAGAGCGUUGUAAGAGCAUUGAAGCUGUACCGUAAGGAGCAGUGGAGUUCUUAGAAGUGAGAAUGCCGGUAUGAGUAGCGAAAGAUCAGUGAGAAUCUGAUCGGCCGAAAGACUAAGGUUUCCUGGGGAAGGCUCGUCCUCCCAGGGUUAGUCGGGGCCUAAGAUGAGACCGAGAGGUGUAAUCGAUGGAUAACGGGUUGAUAUUCCCGUACUAGUUUAUUUUGUUUGAACGAUGGAAGGACGCAGGAGGAUGAUGUGUGCACACGGCUGGAAAAGUGUGUCCAAUCAGAAAGUCUUGGUAAGAGUCAAAUGCUUUUACCUUUAAGGACAAUCUGUGAUGGGGAGCGAAAUUUAAGUAGCGAAGCACAGUAACUCACACUGCCAAGAAAAAUUCCUAGUUAGAAAUAAACUACCCGUACCGCAAACCGACACAGGUAGUCGAGGAGAGAAUCCUAAGGUCAGCGAGUGAACUCUCGUUAAGGAACUCGGCAAAAUGACCCCGUAACUUCGGGAGAAGGGGUGCUGGUGUAACAGCCAGCCGCAGUGAAUAGGCCCAAACAACUGUUUAUCAAAAACACAGGUCUAUGCUAAAUCGUAAGAUGACGUAUAUGGGCUGACGCCUGCCCGGUGCUGGAAGGUUAAGAGGAUCAGUUAGCGUAAGCGAAGCUGAGAAUUGAAGCCCCAGUAAACGGCGGCCGUAACUAUAACGGUCCUAAGGUAGCGAAAUUCCUUGUCGGGUAAGUUCCGACCCGCACGAAAGGCGUAAUGAUUUGGGCACUGUCUCAACGAGAGACUCGGUGAAAUUAUAAUACCCGUGAAGAUGCGGGUUACCCGCGACAGGACGGAAAGACCCCAUGGAGCUUUACUGUAGCUUGAUAUUGAGUUUUUGUGUGACAUGUACAGGAUAGGUAGGAGCCGUUGAAAUCGGAACGCUAGUUUCGAUUGAGGCAUUGGUGGGAUACUACCCUUGUUAUAUGAAAACUCUAACCUGCACCAUUAAUCGUGGUGAGGGACAGUGUCUGGUGGGCAGUUUGACUGGGGCGGUCGCCUCCUAAAAUGUAACGGAGGCGCUCAAAGGUUCUCUCAGAAUGGUUGGAAAUCAUUCGCAGAGUGUAAAGGCACAAGAGAGCUUGACUGCGAGACUGACAAGUCGAGCAGGUACGAAAGUAGGACUUAGUGAUCCGGUGGUUCCAUAUGGAAGGGCCAUCGCUCAACGGAUAAAAGCUACCCUGGGGAUAACAGGCUUAUCUCCCCCAAGAGUUCACAUCGACGGGGAGGUUUGGCACCUCGAUGUCGGCUCAUCGCAUCCUGGGGCUGUAGUCGGUCCCAAGGGUUGGGCUGUUCGCCCAUUAAAGCGGUACGCGAGCUGGGUUCAGAACGUCGUGAGACAGUUCGGUCCCUAUCCGUCGCGGGCGUAGGAAAUUUGAGAGGAGCUGUCCUUAGUACGAGAGGACCGGGAUGGACAUACCUCUGGUGUACCAGUUGUGCCGCCAGGCGCAUCGCUGGGUAGCUACGUAUGGAAGGGAUAAACGCUGAAAGCAUCUAAGUGUGAAGCCCCCCUCGAGAUGAGAUUUCCCAUUCCGUAAGGAAGUAAGAUCCGUUAGAGAUUAUGACGUAGAUAGGCUGCGGGUGGAAGUAUAGCGAUAUACGGAGCUGAGCAGUACUAAUAGAUCGAGGACUUAACCGAG